AGGGGAAAAUCGAUCAUGGAAAAAAAAUAGGGAGAAAAUUGAAAUCUUGCUCCAAAAAUUAUUUUCUCCUAGUAUUCCUACUAAGUCAAGGGUGCUCUACAACAUGGUGUAGUUGUUUUGGAAGUUUGGAGACUUGUUUAGUUGAUUUGGAGAUUUGGGGAAGUGAAAGAAAAGAUUUUGGAGGAAACGGGAAUUGAACUUGGACAACCGUAAAAGGCCAAAAAGUUUCUCACUACUCCACUCGUGGAUGCCUCAAUGCUUCUUUCACUGAGCCUGGGCCAGGAUAUGUUUUCGUGCGUAUUUCUCUGCAUUGUUCGCCGUGUCCCGAUGUGAGGGGGCAGGUAUGACAUGUACAUGGGGUGAUAAAUGUUAUGCCACAGAGUUAUGCU